UCCGACUUAAGGGUCGGCAGUCUCGUUAGAGUGCCCAACUUAAUGAUGGCAACUAAGGCCGAGGGUUGCGCUCGUUGCGGGACUUAACCCAACAUCUCACGACACGAGCUGACGACAACCAUGCACCACCUGUACACCGCCCCGAAGGACCCCACAUCUCUGCGAGUUUUCGGUGUAUGUCAAGCCUUGGUAAGGUUCUUCGCGUUGCAUCGAAUUAAGCCACAUGCUCCGCCGCUUGUGCGGGCCCCCGUCAAUUCCUUUGAGUUUUAACCUUGCGGUCGUAAUCCCCAGGCGGGGUGCUUAAUGCGUUAGCUACGGCACGGAGGGAGUGGACAACCCCCCACACCUAGCACCCAUCGUUUACGGCGUGGACUAC
rnacentral:misc_RNA from 1 species